UUGUAAGUGUGCCAGCAGCCGCGGUAAUACGUAGGGGGCAAGCGUUAUCCGGAUUUACUGGGUGUAAAGGGAGCGUAGACGGAGCAGCAAGUCUGAUGUGAAAGGCAGGGGCUCAACCCCUGGACUGCAUUGGAAACUGUUGAUCUUGAGUACCGGAGAGGUAAGCGGAAUUCCUAGUGUAGCGGUGAAAUGCGUAGAUAUUAGGAGGAACACCAGUGGCGAAGGCGGCUUACUGGACGGUAACUGACGUUGAGGCUCGAAAGCGUGGGGAGCAAACAGG
rnacentral:rRNA from 1 species